UACAGAGGUGGCAAGCGUUGUUCGGAAUUACUGGGCGUAAAGGGCGCGUAGGCGGCCUUCUAAGUCAGACGUGAAAUCCCCCGGCUUAACCUGGGAACUGCGUCUGAUACUGGAAGGCUUGAGUGCGGGAGAGGGAUGUGGAAUUCCAGGUGUAGCGGUGAAAUGCGUAGAUAUCUGGAGGAACACCGGUGACGAAGGCGGCAUCCUGGACCGACACUGACGCUGAGGCGCGAAAGCUAGGGUAGCAAACGGG
rnacentral:rRNA from 1 species